rnacentral:lncRNA from 1 species
AACAUUUUAUUAAAUCUUACAAGGAGAGGCCGCGGUCUGGGAAAUGAACUUUGGAAUCGGGUUUUGUGUGGUGGUGGUUUGCCCUUCAUGUGUUAAUAUGAUGAAGUGUUGGCGUGCACUAUUCGGCCAACUCCGAGGGGGAUGGAUUCAAAGUUUUCAUGGCUGUUGUAUAAUGGAAAGAAGGUGGGACUAUUUCGGAGCGCUGAGUAGCCGAGUCGAUAGCGCGCUGGCCGCUGUUGCUGAAUUCCUGGAUGUCCUCGGGUUCGAUGCGUGGUCCGUGAUUGUUUUUUUUUUUCGUUGCC